rnacentral:tRNA from 1 species
GAAAGAGGCCUGAAGCAGUAAGGACUGCUAAUCCUUUACCCCCGCAGUUAAACUCUGCGGCUCAUUCGCC